rnacentral:rRNA from 1 species
UUGAGCGUUCCGGCACCCAAAUUAAGUUGGGAGCCGGAUAGCGGCGGACGGGUGAGUAACGCGUGGGCAACCUACCCUUAAGACCGGGAUAACACUUCGAAAGGGGUGCUAAUACUGGAUAAGCUCCUUGUAGGGCAUCCUAUGAGGAGGGAAGGUAGCGGGAGCUACCGCUUAAGGAUGGGCCCGCGUCCCAUCAGCUAGUUGGUAGGGUAACGGCCUACCAAGGCGACGACGGGUAGCCGGCCUGGGAGGGUGGUCGGCCACACUGGGACUGAGACACGGCCCAGACUCCUACGGGAGGCAGCAGUGGGGAAUCUUGCGCAAUGGGCGAAAGCCUGACGCAGCGACGCCGCGUGAGCGAGGAAGGCCUUCGGGUCGUAAAGCUCGAUAGUGUGGGAAGAAGGGAUGACGGUACCACACGAGAGCCCCGG